AAUAGAUACCCGGGUAGUCCAUGCCGUAAACGAUGUCUACUAGCCGUUGGGGCCUUUGAGGCUUUAGUGGCGCAGCUAACGCGAUAAGUAGACCGCCUGGGGAGUACGGUCGCAAGACUAAAACUCAAAUGAAUUGACGGGGGCCCGCACAAGCGGUGGGGCAUGUGGUUUAAUUCGAUGCAACGCGAAGAACCUUACCUGGUCUUGACAUAGUAAGAACUUUCCAGAGAUGGAUUGGUGCCUUCGGGAACUUACAUACAGGUGCUGCAUGGCUGUCGUCAGCUCGUGUCGUGAGAUGUUGGGUUAAGUCCCGCAACGAGCGCAACCCUUUUCCUAUUUGCCAGCGGGUUAAGCCGGGAACUUUAAGGAUACUGCCAGUGACAAACUGGAGGAAGGCGGGGACGACGUCAAGUCAUCAUGGCCCUUAGACCAGGGCUACACACGUGCUACAAUGGUCGGUACAAAGGGUUGCUACCUAGCGAUAGGAUGCUAAUCUCAAAAAGCCGAUCGUAGUCCGGAUUGGAGUCUGCAACUCGACUCC
rnacentral:rRNA from 1 species